rnacentral:rRNA from 1 species
AGAACGUACGCUGGCGGCACGCCUAACACAUGCAAGUCGAACGAAGUAGCAAUACUUAGUGGCAGACGGGUGAGUAACAUGUAGGUAUCUUCCCUAUGGCCUGGAAUAACACGAGGAAACUUGUGCUAAUACUGGAUAAGUCUUUACGGAGAAAGCUUUAUGCACCAUUGGAUGAGCCUGCACUUGAUUAGUUUGUUGGUGGGGUAAUGGCCUACCAAGACUUUGAUCAAUAGCUGAUUUGAGAGGAUGAUCAGCCACAUUGGGACUGAGACACGGCCCAAACUCCUACGGGAGGCAGCAGUGGGGAAUCUUGCACAAUGGAGGAAACUCUGAUGCAGCGAUGCCGCGUGAGUGAAGAAGGCCCUUGGGUUGUAAAGCUCUUUCGUCGGGGAAGAAAAUGACUGUACCCGAAUAAGAAGGUCCGGCUAACUUCGUGCCAGCAGCCGCGGUAAUACGAAGGGACCUAGCGUAGUUCGGAAUUACUGGGCUUAAAGAGUUCGUAGGUGGUUGAAAAAGUUGGUGGUGAAAUCCCAGAGCUUAACUCUGGAACUGCCAUCAAAACUUUUCAGCUAGAGUUUGAUAGAGGAAAGCAGAAUUUCUAGUGUAGAGGUGAAAUUCGUAGAUAUUAGAAAGAAUACCAAUUGCGAAGGCAGCUUUCUGGAUCAUUACUGACACUGAGGAACGAAAGCAUGGGUAGCGAAGAGGAUUAGAUACCCUCGUAGUCCAUGCCGUAAACGAUGUGUGUUAGACGUUGGAAAUUUAUUUUCAGUGUCGCAGCGAAAGCGAUAAACACACCGCCUGGGGAGUACGACCGCAAGGUUAAAAC